UUUUUGCCCAUUCCAUCAGUGUCAGGAAAUAUACUUCUGGUGGCCUGUGUUUAGCUCUCAGACCUGGGAAAAAAUAAAGUCUACUCGGUUGGAUUUAUCUUUCUGUAUAAAUAUCUAAACAGGUGGAGCUCUUGGCCAAAUUAAAGAGUCAUAUCCUAUACAUGCAGAAAACCUUUCUGCCUCCCAGCUUUCUAAAAUCAUGUCCCCUAUAGUUUGUUUAAAAACCACACAUAAUAUUUUUAUCUGUUCAAUUGAUUACCUUCCAUGCUGAUCAGUGCACUCCUCAGUUAAUUUCAGAAUACCAAUGAAUUCUACAAACCUGUAAAUUCUGUAAUAUAUAAACCAAAUAAAACUUGCAUUUUUAUUAUAAAUGGACUUUUAACAUUGUUUUCCUAAAUUUCUGUAUUUUAAAUGUGAGAAAUAGCUGACGUUCAAAUUCUUUUAAAACCCCCUUGAUGAAUUUCAUUGUUUUUUUUUUCUUGUGGCAUAUAUAGGUGAAAUAUGCUGAUUUUAAUGAAGAAAAGGCCAAGAAAUCAAGCAUUAGCUCUAAGUCAGCUCAAGGAGUCUUUGCUUCUCAUGAUUCACCAAUUAAACAACAAAACUAUCAUAACUGCCGUCAAGGAAAAGUAUGUACAAUGAAAUUCACUGAUAAAGCAACAUGUUAAGGAUAUUUUGUAAUAUGAGAUUAGAGAAAAAUCUGUGAAUCAGACAAUGAGCAAAAUCAUCUGUUGACGUUAGUCAGUUUCCCUCUUUGUCUUCUUCUCUUCCUUGACUUUCACUCUCAGUUAAUCUUGAGUUUUGCCGGGGUCCAAAGUUACUGUUAUUGGCCCUUUGGGCAGAGGGGCUCAGGAGGAUAUAUUGAAGGAGCAUUAGGAGCUUUAGUCACCAGGUGAAAAGCAUCAAAUACCACAAACCCACUCCAUAAUGGGAAGCCAUUAAGGGAAAUGUCUUUGCAUACUAUUAAGAUCUGGCUUAGGGCUGAGCAUCCUGUCCCUUGGGCAUGUGAACCAGGAUGCCUAGAUCUGUCUCUUAAUUUUCCUAGGAGUAAGGAAAAUCUUAGGGUCAUACUCCAUCAAAAGAAAUACCUGGUCACUUGAGAACUGCAACUUGGACCAGGCCAAGAUCAGAGGGUGAAUUUGAUGAGCCCCAACUCUAGGGCUAGACAGAGGAAUCGUGAACAUGAGAGAGGUUCAGGGGAGUAGCACACACACACUUUUCACACAUACACCUGCUCAAUUCAGAAAACAAGCAACAAACACAAAGACAUAGACAUACUGGCACCAAAAGGAUAUUUCUUGGUUUAAUAGUAUAGUGAGAAUAAGGUGAAAAUCAGAUUCUAUUUAUCACAGUUCACUUCAUUAUAAGAAUGCCCCUAUUUUAUAUACCAAGAUUGGAAAUGCCUCUUCUCUGCUACCUUAUGAGUAAUAAUGUAGGACGUCUGUACAUUUUCUCUGGUAUUAAGAAAAUAAUACAUAUUGAAAUUCUUGGCUCAUAUGUAUUGGAACAGAUUUGGACCAAUUUAGAUCAAGAAGGUAAGUAACUUACCUGUUAAUGGUUAGAUGUUAGAAGUGUUUGAUUUCAGCCAUGUUUAUGUAAAACAAGUGUUUUUCAACCAUAUGUUAUCAUCCCAGACUAUGUUUUUCAAACUCAAUAGCCAUUUUCUAGUGCAAGCAGUAGGUGACAAAGAACGCAUUAAGAGAACUAGAUAGCGGUGAUGUUUGCACGGCAUUAUGAGUGUGCUUAAUGCCACUGAACUGUACACUUUAAAAUGGUAAAAUGGUACAUUUUAUGUUAUGUGUACUUUAUCACAAUAAAAAAGCAUUAAAAUAUUUGGGAAUUGGGGUGGAAAAACUGGCUUUUCCCUGUAGUGGCUUUCAAACCUCUAACGGAUCAUGAGAGAUAUGCUACCUACAACAAGGUGCUAACUUUUCAUUGAAUGUUGGCCUAAACCUGAACAAUCUGGAAGGUAACUUUGGAGGUAAUUGGGAGGCAACAACCACAUUAUAGGGAAUCUGGUGCCCAAAUGCCAGGAUAUCAAACAAUGCAUAGCCAGAAUGCCAGGCAUCCAGCCUUUGCUGCUGCUGACUUUUAAGCACAGCUUUGAAAAAUAAGAGUUUCUGUGGAAUGUAUGCAUUCUUGGUCUAGAUGUCUUGAGGGUAACAAUAACUUCAAAACAAAUACUAUUUUAUUAUAGGCAGGAGGAUUUUUAUGUUCCCAAAAUAUAUCUUCAAUAAGUAGAAGUACCUAAACAAAUAGAGUUUUUCAGGUGCAAUUUGCAUCUGGCCCCAGUCCAGUCUUAGGUGUGACAGUGAGUACAAUUAACCAUUGAGGAAAAUGUCAUUCAGUUCUGGUCCUUGGGUUCUACUUCAGCUCAUACUGAAGGACCCCCAACUUCCUCCUACUGCUCAGCCUUCUGGCCCUUUGAGUCUCAGGUGUAUCUCAGCCUUUUGGACCUAAAUGAAUGUGUUUCCUUACUUCUGAGCCAUCCUCUGUCUCCCUAUCCAAGACAGUUUGCACUGAGAAUUCUUUUGUUGCACCCAAACCCUGUUCACUUCCCCUAAAUCAUCAGUACUAAUACUUGACCAUUAAUUAAGCCUUAACAAGUAGCGGUAGUCAUCAGCAUAUAUAAAAGCACAGUGAACUUUCAGAGGAAGGCAACAACAGGCAGGCCACAGAGCCCACAGGCUGACCACUCCACUGUGGUGCUUUUUCACUAUUGCCUCAUAGCUGAAUAGAUGCCUACAUAAAAAGAGGCUACCUCUGCAAAGGCAUAUAAAUGUUUUGGAGGCAAAUUUGUUUUCUGAAAUAGUUUGUUAGAGGUAAUCUGGUUUGUAUUUUUAAGAAUUAUUUCAUGGAUCAUAAACACAGUCUGUCUUUUUGCCAGAGCAUUGGUUUUCUAUGAGUUUAGACACCCACCUGGCUAUUUUUAAAUUUAUGUAUUUAAAUUCAAGUUACUUAACAUACAGUGUUGUACUAUUUUCAGAAGUAGGAACCAGUGACUCAUCACUUCCGUAUAACACCCAGUGCUCAUACCAGCAAGUGCCCUCCUUAAUGCCCAUUACCCACUUAGCCCAUACCCCCACCCGCCUCCCCUCUAGCCACCCUUUUUUUUCUCUGAAUUUAAGACUCUCUUAUGGUUUGCCUCCCUCUCUAUUUUAUUUUUCCUUCCCUUCCCUUAUGUUUAGCUGUUUUGAUUCUUAAAUUCCACAUGAGUGAAAUCAUAAUGAUAUUUGUCUUUUUCUGACUGACUUAUUUCACUUAGCAUAAUACACUCUAGUUCCAACUCAUAAAUAUGGAGAACAAACUGAGGGUUACGGGAGGGAUUGUGGGAGGGGGAUUGGGCUAAAUGGGUAAGGGGCACUAAGGAAUCUAUUCCUGAAAUCAUUGUUGCACUAUAUGCUAACUAAUUUGGAUGUAAAUUUUUAAAAAUAAAAAAUAAAAUUAAAAAAAUAGUAGUAAAAAUAAAAUAAAAUAAAAUAAAAUAAAAUAAUACACUCUAGUUCUAUCCAUGUUGUUGCAAAUCGCAAGAUUUCAUUCUUUUUGAUCACCAAGUAGAAUUCCAUUGUAUAUAUAUACCACAUCUUCUUUAUCCAUUCAUCAGUCGAUAGACAUUUGGGUUCUUUCCAUAAUUUGGUUAUUGUUAAUAGCACUGCUAUAAACAUUGGGGUGCUUGUGCCCCUUCGAAUCAGCAUUUUUAUA